AUUGAACGCUGGCGGCAGGCCUAACACAUGCAAGUCGAGCGAGAGGCGGAAGGGUGAGUAAUGUAUGGGGACUGCCCGAUAGAGGGGGAUAACUCCUGGAAACGGUGGCUAAUAACGCCUACUAGCGGAUAACCCAUAUGGGAUUAGCUAGGAGGAGGGGUAAAGGCUCACCUAGGCGACGAUCUCUAGCUGGUCUGAGAGGAUGAUCAGCCAACCUGGGACUGGGACACGGCCCAAGUCCCUCGGGAGGCAGCCAGGGGGAAUAUUGCACAAUUGGCGCAAGCCUGAUGCAGCCAUUCCGCGUGUAUGAAGAAGGCCUUAGGGUUGUAAAGUACUUUCAGCGUGGAGGCGUUACCCGCAGAAGAAACACCGGCUAACUCCGGGCCAGCAACCGCGGUAAUAC
rnacentral:rRNA from 1 species